CUUGCUAGCUGGAACACAGUUAGAAAGCUUCAUGUACGAAUUUCACUUCGACCAUAGUUUGGUCGAAUCCCUAAACUCUUCUAGCCCAUAUUUCCAUUACUUAAGCAAUAUCACGAUGUCAGAUCUCUUCUCACAGUACGGACAUCGGCCUGAUGAAACAGUUGAAUUUGCAGUCUGGGAAAAGGUGAAAGUUCUGGAUCGCGAUACUUACUUCACGACAAAGAUAACUGACUUCGGGCUUUGUACUGUCUUCAACGAUGCAGAUUCUGGAAAUCCACCCCUGACUAUUAGACGCCCUGGUACAAAUAAUGGCUUACAAAUUCGGCUAAACCUUGAGCAAUAUGAGUACUACUUCAAUCCAUUUUACCGGGUAUCCGCGGGAUUUCAGAUGCUUAUAUACGAAUACGGUUCACACGCACUCAUGGAAGAUCAAGGAUUUGGGAUAUCUCCCGGGACCCAUACUUUUGUUGGAGUUG